GAGAGAAACCGUUGGCGGAUUCAAACGUCUGUGCGCGAGAGAGGAGCCGACGCUGAGGAACGACAAACAUCAUUUCCAGACGGAUUUUCCAUCAUUAAAGUUAUGAGCCAUUGGAGAACCACACAACUGCAGUGAAAACUGUAAUAGUAAGCAGUAGCAGUUGCACUUCAAGAGCUCUGUCAAUUGUGCUAAAUGUCUCCAUUGUCCUGGAAGAGGAGGUGAUGCUUCACAACUUUGUAAAUGUAUUUAUUGUACUCUUUGGAUUAUCGUAUGCACUCAACAUGGAGUACAACAAGGAUUUACGGUAAAAGAUCGACCCGAUUUGGUGUUUUUCUGCAGGUGAGAGAGGCAAACGAAAACGGAGAAAAUAGCCUGGAUUAAGUUGAGAUACUCAUUUCACCAUCUGAUUGGUUUCGGCCAAUCAGCUCGAGUCGAUGUGGCCCGGUAAUGAGGUGUGCUGAGCGAAUGAGCUGUGGUGGCGUGAGAUGCUUAUGCCGGUGCUGAACGAGAACUGAUAGCCCACCCACCCCCCUCGCUUUCCUCCUCCCCGCAACCCAUUCUGCACGUGUGUUGGUGCGUGUAGAGAGGCUCCAGUUUCUCUCAAGCCCAUUUACUGCCAUUUUACAGCUCAUUUGGGUCCAAGUGAGCAGCAUGCCAGCACCUUCUCCCAGCUCUCUGUGACCCACUUUCAGCUUAGGCGGACCAAUGGAAUCAGACCCUCAAAAGAAGGCCAGAUGCAUCUGACCACGUCUGUUUUUUAAGCUGUCAAGUUGUGAAGACAACAACAAAAAAUCAAGGUAAAUACCACUGAACAGAACAUUUUUAUUUCCAAUCGUGCUGUAAUUGUCAAAUUAUGCAAAACGUAUGAAAAUAUGUUGUGCAUACAAGACAUAACAAGGCAAAGCAGUCGACCAUUUCAUUCCCGAAACGUUUAAAAUGUCAUCUCCACCAAAGAAUGUUAUCAAACACAAUUACUUAAUUUGAGAUCCUAUGACAAAUUGCUUGUAAUGUCUCUCAUUUGUAAUCGCCUGGAUAAAAACAUCUGUUUAAUGAAUAAAUGUAAAUGAGAUGUGGUGGAAAUGGUGGGGAAAAAAUGCGACCGACAAAAUGUCCCAUUCUUAAUCUCUUCAAGCUUUUUUCCCAUACAUUUCCCUCUAUUUCCAUCAUCCACUUGUUUAUAGAUCUGUUUCUGUGUGUCCACUGCCUGAGAUCUUUCAUCAAAGCAGGCCCGAUAUUACCGUUGUCUUUCUUUCCAGCUUUUCUUGCCUUCCUCCCGUUCCCCGAGCCUUGGCACACACUCCUCACAGGCUGAUUUAAGGGGGAGCAUUACGGUGCAGGAGAUGAAAUUAUUUCAUUCCUCUCCUCUACUGCUCUCUUCCCGCUCUUGAUGGGGUCCCCUGCUGCUUCAGAAGCACGUGGGGAGAGACGUGUCCUGCGUAAGAAGCAGCUCGCAUCUAACAUGCGUUUGACCCUUCGUUCCUGCGGCAGAGGGAGCGGCUGCUUUCAGCAUCAAAUGAUUAGUGAUCUGGGGCCCUAGAGGCGUGGAACUGAGCUCGGUAUACGCUCAAUUUUCUGCCAUCAGUGAACAGUUAAUGUUAGCCUGAGUAACAACACACACAAUGGGACAAGGCAACCUCAUAUUCUCAGGGCGGGCAUUUUUAACAGGCGACUUUGUUGCAAGUACUGAAAUACGUUAUCAAAACUGGCCCCAAGAGUUUGUCAGAACUGAUAAUAAACUGUUUUGUUUUCCUUAUUGGUUAAACAAAAUGGCAUUGGCAACAUUAUAUUCCUUAAUUGAAUGAAAAAGACAGAGCGUGCUAUUCACAAACAAUGUGGGAACAUUUUUACAGAGGAAGCAUGUUUGUGUUUAAAUAUAUUCUUAAUUUAGGACCAGCUCAAACUACACAUUUAAAUAACACAAUUUUAAGAUAUUGUUUCCAAGGCCACUAAGAGUAUUUUAACUCAAAAAGUCUACUUGCACUAGGAAGUGCAUAAAAUUAUUGUAAUCUAAAUAUUUAAAACAAGAAAUUACAAUAACCAAACUAAAAUUCAACAUUAGCAGCUUACUUUUAACGCCAUUGUUUAGAUCAUCCGCACAUUUUGCUUUAGUGUUUAAUGAGUUGUUAACUGGAGAGUUGUCAGGGAAUUGUUGAUUAUAGAGCCGCUGCAGUUGGAUCAGACCAACUGAAUCGAAUGAGUCGUUCAGUCCAAUUUUUGAACUUAUUUAACAAGUUCAUUGAAAGGAAUUAACUCAAGGAAUGAUUCGUUCAUAAAUCUGACAUCACGCUACGGAGUCUCAAAUUUACGGAGCCCUGCACAUGACAUGCAAGAAAAAAUAAAUAACUCAUGGGCACAUUUUAUUAAUUUGUUCACUCGAUUUACUAGGCUGUGCGCACGAUUUACUAAUUCGUUCCCUCAUUUUAAUAAAUUGUGCGCUCGAUUUAUUAAUUCGUUCACUCGAUUUACUUGAUCGUGCAUGCUUUAAUAAGUCGUUGCCUCGUUUUAAAUAAAUGGUGCGCUUGAUAUAAUAAUUUGUGCCCUCGUUCUAGGUAAAUUGUGCGCACAAAAUAAUAAUUAAUUGUAGCCUACUUCCUGUCCGUGUACACAUUUUCAUAAACAUGUUGCUGCUAUGUUAUGUCAUGUUACAAUGGUUUUAUUUUGAGUUGGGAAUGAGUUAUAGAGACAUUCUCAAAAGCCUUGCAGCAUUGCAUGGAAUCAUUUUUCACAAAGAAGGCGGAUACGACAGCCUACUUAAGAUGAAUAAAGCACCAGCACCUGUUAGGAGGUAUUGAUUAAAACGUGUGCACGAUUUACCUAGAAUGAGGGCAUGGAUUAUUAUAUCGAGGCACGAUUUACUUAAAACGAGGGAACGACUUAUUAAAGCGUGCACACGAUCUAGUAAAUUGAGGGAACGAAUUAAUAAAUCGUGCUCACAAUUUAUUAUUUUUUUUCUUGCAUGUCACGUGCAGGGCUCCAUACAAAUUGGGUUUCUUUUUUAAGUUUUUAAUGAAGAUCAAAACAAAUUUGUGUUUAUUCCUGUUGAGAAUCGACAGGAGAUUUUGUGUGAGAAUGUUUUCUAAGUACUUACUAACAUUUAGCUACUUCUAGGACAUUUUAAGUUGUCUGAUGUAAAAACGCUUAAAGUUGUUUAAAGUACCAAAAUAACAAACCAAUUUCUACACAUAUUUUUCUUGUCAUUAACGCUAUCUACUGCUAAAGGCAUAAUGGUCCAAGUGGAAAGACAAUAUUCUUACAUUUGCGCAUUUUUCAAUUAGCUUUUAGAAUGUCUCUUACAGUAUUGAAUAUCAAAAUGAGUGAGAUUUGAUAACGUUGACGUAGAAACUUUUCCCACAACUGUUUUUUACAGAAAAUAUCAUAUAGCUUUGAAUAAAGCAUACAAGUCUUUAUGGAGCUUUUUUACAGCUCAAGAGCCCUUGGUUCCCAUAAUAUAAAAUAGCAUGGUAGACCUUUUGUAAUAUUUCUUCAUUUGUGUUCCACAGAAAGAAAGUAACAGGUUUGGAUGGGCAUGAGGUGAGUAGGCUAAAUGAUGACAGAAUUGUAUUUUUGGUUGAACUAUCGCUCAAUUCUUGGGUUCAACAUUCAUUUUCGAAAUCUAGAGAAUAAUAGAGUUGUCCCAUUACAUAAUAUAUGAAGAGUAUGAGCAGUGGGACAUUGAAAUUUCUUUCUGAAAGCAAUGUCUUGUACCACAGUUCCAUGUCUUUCAAUCCAUCAACCCCUCAUUCCUCAUUAAAUCCUACUUGUAAAUGUUUGAGUAGUGUGAAGGGGCUCUCCUCUGGGUGAUAGAGCUUGUUCUCUCAUAGAUUCUGGUCUGCUCAGAUCACAAAAGUCUCCCAGUGAAACUCCCAUCAGCGUUUGUGUCUCCCUUUCUCAGUAUCUCUCUCUCUAUCUCUCUCUUACACAAACAAAUGCAUGUUCCUCAUGGCUGACUCCAUCAUUAUUCUGUGGAAGGGCCAUAUUAAAGAUGCAUCUCCACGCUCGAGACUCAAAGGGAGCGAUCUGACCCUGGCAAUAGCUGCUGAAUUAUGGAGACCACCAAUGAAGGUGUUUGCCUUUGAUCUGAUUCAGACUGUCUCAUGCACGUUUUCUCUGUGCUUUUCUCUCAGGUAGGACUGACAGACGUAUGCAAGUCACUCUUCAAAGUACAGUGAUAAAACAACGACAUAAUUGUAUGAUAUUAUGAUAAUUUUAUCAUGUCACUGCACUAUCCACACUACUUUGUAGUGAUUUAAAGUGAUUGCCAUGAUCAUCACACUUCACCUCCUCAUUUUACACCAUUUUGAGUGACAGAGGUUCAGAUGGGUCGUAUCUGUAUAUUUAAUGGUCUCAGAAGGGAAAGCGAGUUUCAAAAUGGGUGUCAUUUGUCACAUAUUAAUAAUAUAGUGAGGUUGUGUGAUAGGCUGGCUAGAGUAACCUCUCUUUCUUUCCUUAUAAUCUUUCCACCCGAUUUCCGCUCUUUUUCUCUGACGAUCUUACAGCCCAGUCUAAAAUGACACAUCAUGCUAAGCAAUAAUGACCCGUAUUUUGGCUUUUUGGCCAUUUAGGGAAAUUGCUCCUAUCCUGUUUGAUUCCCAGCUGCGUCAUUGUCGCAGGGUCAGAUGCAGUGUGUGUGUGUGUGUAUGUGUGUGAAUUUCGAGAAGAAAAUGAGAUAUUCUUAACGGUAAUCAGUUUAAAUAGAGAAAAACAGUGUAAUUUUACAGGUCUCACACUGUGCUCAGAUUUGCAAAAUGUGAAAGAUUUUAAUAUGAACAUUUGUUCUGACAACAGCUUUUUAAAAAAAGGGUGAAAAAUAAUGUUUUUUGUUCCUAUGUUAUUUACAUACAGCAAUCAUAAAUGGCUAUGAAUAACCUAAAUAUGAUUUUCAUUUACAGUAAACAGUUUACAGUAGGCUAACUUGUUUUAAAGGGGUCAUGAACUGCCUUUGCUUUUUAUUUUGUACUGUUCUCUGAGGUCCACUUAUAAUGUAAUCAAGAUUUUUACAUCAAAAAACAUAAUUUAGAAGUAAUAAGCUAUUUUCUGUCCCAUUUUAACCCUCCCUCAUCAGAACGCUCUGUUUGAAUAUGCAGGGCAGAUUGUAGACUCAGAAGUAAACACCCACUACUAUGAUUAGCUAAUAGUUGUGUAUGUUUGACAGCAUACAAUCCUCAUAGAUGGACGCUGGUGUGAUUAAGGUCAAAAAUGCAUAAAUAACUCAAUACAUAUCAAACGAUCUGUAAGAGGAGACAAAGCAAUGGUGACCACGUAAUGAAAAUAGUUACUCACACUUGUGUGUUGUGACAUUACUGUCAGAUCCAAUAUAUUCAGCACAGCAUCGUCUUUUAGUUUCAAUCUUUUUAAAAAUCCCACAUUGAAUUUUGCCUUGUUUGCAAACAAAUCUGCGGUAAAAUGAGGUGAAAAAAUGACCAAUGUCUGGAUCUUCAUUAAAAAUAAAGUUCAUCCACUCUUUCCUAAUGUUGGGAUCAGAAGGAAGGCUACGCAAACAUUGUUUUUCCACAACUUGGCACUGCACAGCAUCUUCUUGUCUUCAGAGCGAUCUUUAUCAUUUGGUUUCUAUAUAGACCUGCGUUCGCCUCUCUUGUAAACACUACAUGCGUGAAAUGGUGGGUGGGGCUAAACAAGCAGUGAUGUAGAAGCAGGCAUUGAUCAUUUUCUGCGGAGGUGGUGCUUAGACGAAAGACGUAGUAUUAAAUGUAUUAAAAAUAUACUCAAAAUUCAAGUAGUAUGUUUAUAAUACAUUUGUAUUCCCACCAUGCUUAUUUUAAGUGCAUUAAAAAUAUAUUGAAUUGCAUUUUAAUGUAUUUAUAAAAAAGUAUACUAGAAAUACUUUGGUAAUAAAUAUAUGCUUAGUUACAUUUUAAAGUAAUAUGCUAAACACAAGCACACUAUUAGUAUAUGCCUAAAAAGUAUAGUAGAAAUACUGUUGAUAAAUAUAUUUUUAGUUAUACUUUUAAGGAAUAUACUAAACUUAAGCAUACUUUUAGUGACGUUUUAGUGUAUUUACAGAAAACAUACUUAUGUUACCCUUACUUAAAGUAUAUUUUAUGUGUAAUUUGUGUAAGAACAUACUAUGAAAUUAAUUAGAAAAUAUAGCGGUAAGUUCUUAUUUUUACCAGCUUCUCCAACCGUGUAUGGCGUCUGGCUUUGGAACCUCACUGUGACUUCAGGUAAGAUUUGUAUUUAAUUAACGUUAUUUGUCUGUGCCAGUCGUGUUUUUGACACAUGCAUUGGCAGAAAAAAAAAAAGUCAUUAUAACAUGUACAACAUUAUUGUCAUGGUGCACACAUAGCGGGGAGGAACAAGGAGCACGGAGACAUAGAAUAAACUUCAAAUAAACAGGCUUUAAUCCGAACUCAAACAGGGCAAGACAAGGCAGGGCUGAGACACACAGGAACACAAGGAACGUAAUGGGUAGACCAGACGAAAACCGACUAAACAGGCAGGAACUAAAUACACAGGAUAAUUAACUAUAAACAGCUGGAACAUAAUCUAAACAAUCAAACUAAAUUAAGACAGGAACAGGAUGGACCAAAUAUGGGCAUAGAGGAGAAAACACACAAGACAGGACCGACCUGCGCCAUAACGGUACCACUGGGGGGUGGGCACUGUCCAGGACAAAACAGACAGUUUGGGGUGCCAUGGCGGAGCUGGGAGCACUGGAAACCAUGGCAGUGCAGGGAGCACAGGAGGCCAUUUACAUUUAUUCAGGGAGCUCUGGAGGCCAUGGCAGGUGAUCUUCGUGGCCUCGGCCCAGCCACUACAGCCGGAACCCUACUGCCCCCAAUUCAAAAUUCCUUGGGGGAACUUACGGGCUCCAGGGCCCUCCGUCGGCUAGACUCAGGAACAGAAGCCCUCUUGGGCUUAACUCAGUAACAGGAACCCUCCGUGGGCUAAAAUCAGGAACAGGGCUAUCCACAGGAGCCCACUCUGGGCUAGGCUCGGAAUAUGAGGCCUCUCUAGGCAGGACAUGAGACCAACAGCCCUCCUUGGGCUGGAGGUGGAGUCAGGGGCCCUCUCAGGGUUUACUCAGGAACCGCUUCCAUUUCUGCAACAGGAGAGGCAUGGCCUCCGCGGUCAUAACUAGAGGAGCCGCCUGCCCCAGACGAGUCUCCAUGGACAAGACAAGGUUGAAUAAAACUGUUCCUGUGAACACAAGACUUUAAAAUGACUUGACUCUGGUCAGGGGCUGGAGCCUGCACUGGACUCUUGGUCAUAUAUGGGCAUAGAGGGGAAAACACACUAGAGAGGACUGACAAUUACAGCAUUAUUUUAUUUGCAAAAUGAAGUUGUGUAUUUAUUUCUGAUUUUCUGAACAAUUUGGCUUCAUUGUAAUGAGGUUAAUGAUCUUUGAAAAACCAUGAUUAUGAACAUAGUUACUUUGUCUUGAGCUGAUUAGCCAACUGUGGUAGUGGUCGUUGAUAGGUGUUUAUAUUUAUUCAAGCUUGACAACCAUGUCACCUUUAUUUUCUUAUAUAUAUUUCUCAUUACAGAUAAGAAUAAAGAUUAAAUUGUAAGAAGGGUUGCUUAUAAAAGAGCAUACAGUACAUCUGAAAGUGCUGAGGCUGGGAAGGUUUUUGACUAUAUUACCAACCAGAUCAGCUGCUACAGAAGACAAACUGAAAUCUGAAUGCAGAGACGAGCAAAGGAAUAAGGUGAAGAGCAUGCACUCUUAGCAUUACCACAACAGACACAUUCAUGCAAGAUACCCUAGGUUUGUCAUGCUUCACGGGGAGUCCAGGAAGCACGGAAACGAGGAAUUUCACAAAACGAGUCUUUAAUAAUUAAAUGGGUUACACAGAGCACAAGGAAGACAUUCAAGGACCAACAAACAUGAACUGAAUGGACUGGGGCUUUUAAACUAAGGAUAACGAGGAAACUAAGGAGACACACCUGGGAUCAAAUCAACGAUCGAGAACAGGAAAAUAACCAUAUAAGGAAACUCAGGAAGGACAGGAGAAAAACAGAAUACGGAGUCCAGAACCCUGACAAGAGUGCUGUACAGUGAAGACAAACAAGAAUAUAAGAAUGGACACUCAUAUGUCAAGCUUGAGGAUAUUGUCAAAAAGAUCCUGUGAUAAAGCCGUCUUCAAAUACUACAGUGUCUGAAUUGCAAGCCCUUAGUUGCAGAAAAUGCAAGUCGUACCUCGUCCCACCGGCUCCCCCUUGGUCAGUCGUCACUCUACUUCUGCCACAGACUUGCAAACUGUCAUUUAUUAUAAUGUUUUUUGUAUAAUGUAUUAAA